GACAAAUGUGAUCCCAAAGGCAGUGUGGCGCAACAUGCAGGACCACUCAGAGGGCUGGCCAAUGAAAAACACAAGAGAGGCACAGGACAAAUAUGAUCCCAAAGGCAGUGUGGCGUAACAUACAGGACCACUCAGAGGGCUGGCCAAUGAAAAACACAAGAGAGGCACAGGACAAAUGUGAU